GGAGACUUCGGUUUUAGUCAAUUCCAUAUCUCAAUCUUAAUGGUGAUUCUUCUCUGUUGAACUGAAGUUUGUGAGAGUAGUUUUCCUUUGCUACUUGAAUAGCAAUAAAAGCGUGUUAACUUUUUGAUUGAUGAAAGAAGUACAAAAAGCCUUUAGCCUUGAGGUGCCUUCUGAAAUUAACCAAAUUUCAUCCAUAUAUCCUCUUUUAUAAACUUAUAGAAUGUCAAACUUUGCCUUCAACUGUUUUUAUUUCUAGUCUCUUCCACUUUAAAACAAAAUGAACACUGCU
rnacentral:lncRNA from 1 species